GGAGACAGGUGGUGCAUGGUUGUCGUCAGCUCGUGUCGUGAGAUGUUGGGUUAAGUCCCGCAACGAGCGCAACCCUUAACUUUAGUUGCCAGCAGGUAGUGCUGGGCACUCUAGAGUGACUGCCGGUGACAAACCGGAGGAAGGUGGGGAUGACGUCAAAUCAUCAUGCCCCUUAUGACCUGGGCUACACACGUACUACAAUGGCCGGUACAACGGGCUGCGAAACCGCAAGGUGGAGCGAAUCCCAACAAAGCCGGUCUCAGUUCGGAUUGCAGGCUGCAACUCGCCUGCAUGAAGUCGGAAUUGCUAGUAAUCGCGGAUCAGCAUGCCGCGGUGAAUACGUUCCCGGGUCUUGUACACACCGCCCGUCACACCACGAGAGUUUACAACACCCGAAGUCGGUGGGGUAACCCGCAAGGGAGCCAGCCGCCGAAGGUGGGGUAGAUGAUUGGGGUGAAGUCGUAACAAGGUAGCCGUAUCGGAAGGUGCGGCUGGAUCACCUCCUUU
rnacentral:rRNA from 1 species